AGUGAACGCUGGCGGUAGGCCUAACACAUGCAAGUCGAACGGCAGCACAGUAAGAGCUUGCUCUUACGGGUGGCGAGUGGCGGACGGGUGAGGAAUACAUCGGAAUCUACUUUUUCGUGGGGGAUAACGUAGGGAAACUUACGCUAAUACCGCAUACGACCUACGGGUGAAAGCAGGGGAUCUUCGGACCUUGCGCGAUUGAAUGAGCCGAUGUCGGAUUAGCUAGUUGGCGGGGUAAAGGCCCACCAAGGCGACGAUCCGUAGCUGGUCUGAGAGGAUGAUCAGCCACACUGGAACUGAGACACGGUCCAGACUCCUACGGGAGGCAGCAGUGGGGAAUAGUGGACAAUGGGCGCAAGCCUGAUCCAGCCAUACCGCGUGGGUGAAGAAGGCCUUCGGGUUGUAAAGCCCUUUUGUUGGGAAAGAAAAGCAGCAGGUUAAUACCCCGCUGUGCUGACGGUACCCAAAGAAUAAGCACCGGCUAACUUC
rnacentral:rRNA from 1 species